GGGUCCCAGGGGAGAGCGCGGAGCAGAUGGUUUUGCAGGAAAGGCCGGAUCCAAGGGUGAAGACGGGCCUCCGGGGCCCAGAGGACCUCCAGGGGAGAGAGGAGUGUCUGGUUCCCCUGGUCUGUCAGGUGUGGCUGGAGGGAGAGGAGACAGAGGCGUCACCGUGAGUGAGA